rnacentral:rRNA from 1 species
AGAGUUGUCCUGGCUUAGGAUGAACGCUAGCUACAGGCUUAACACAUGCAAGUCGAGGGGCAGCAUGGUCUAGCUGCUAAGAUGAUGGCGACCGGCGCACGGGUGAGUAACGCGUAUCCAACCUUCCCUAUAGUAGGGGAUAGCCCGUAGAAAUGCGGAUUAAUACCCUAUGUUGUAUUUCGAUGACAUCUGACGAAUACCAAAGGUUCACCGCUAUAGGAUGGGGAUGCGUCUGAUUAGGUAGUCGGCGGGUAACGGCCCACCGAGCCAGCGAUCAGUAGGGGUUCUGAGAGGAAGGUCCCCCACAUUGGAACUGAGACACGGUCCAAACUCCUACGGGAGGCAGCAGUGAGGAAUAUUGGUCAAUGGGCGAGAGCCUGAACCAGCCAAGUAGCGUGCAGGAUGACGGCCCUAUGGGUUGUAAACUGCUUUUAUGCGGGGAUAAAGUGAGGGACGUGUCCCUUAUUGUAGGUACCGCAUGAAUAAGGACCGGCUAAUUCCGUGCCAGCAGCCGC